GACAGAGGGUGCAAACGUUGUUCGGAAUUACUGGGCGUAAAGCGCGUGUAGGCUGCUCGGAAAGUCAGGUGUGAAAGCCCCGGGCUCAACCCGGGAAGUGCACUCGAAACUGCCAGGCUAGAGUAUCGGAGAGGUUGGUGGAAUUCUCGGUGUAGAGGUGAAAUUCGUAGAUAUCGAGAGGAACACCGGUGGCGAAGGCGGCCAACUGGACGAAUACUGACGCUGAGACUCGAAAGCGUGGGGAGCAAACAGG
rnacentral:rRNA from 1 species